rnacentral:rRNA from 1 species
CCUACGGGUGGCAGCAGUGAGGAAUAUUGGUCAAUGGACGAGAGUCUGAACCAGCCAAGUAGCGUGAAGGAUGACUGCCCUCUGGGUUUUAAACUCCUUUUAUAAAGGAAUAAAACGAGGUACGUGUGCCUUUUUGCAUGUACUUUAUGAUGAAGGAUCGGCCAAAUCCGUGCCAGCAGCCGCGGUAAUACGGAGGAACCGAGCGUUAUCCGGAUUUAUUGGGUUUAAAGGGAGCGUAGAUGGGUUGUUAAGUCAGUUGUGAAAGUUUGCGGCUCAACGGUAAAAUUGCAAUUGAUACUGGCAGUCUAGAGUGCAGUUGAGGUAAGCGGAAUUCGUGGUGUAGCGGUGAAAUGCUUAGAUAUCACGAAGAACCCCGGUUGCGAAGGCAGCUUACUAAACUGUGACUGACAUUGAUGCUCGAAAGUGUGGGUAUCAAACAGGAUUAGAUACCCGAGUAGUC